GACACAUGGAGAUGCUGCACGAUUGGCAGAUUAAUAGAAACAAAAUUGAAAAGAAUACGUAGAAGAAAUUAAGAGCCUAAAGUGGCAUACACACCGAUCGAAACUACUUACAGCGUUGAACUUUGGCAAAGUCUGUCGGCGAAUGAAAAAGACGAACUGUGGAAAUUUGGUAAAGUCACUGCUGUAUCCAAAAGUAUUGGAUUUGACUGUCAUUGAAUAUCGUCGGUAGUGUGAGGAUAUUGAUCGAGAACAACUUUCAAAGCUGAAAGGUGUUGAAAUCCGCAAAUCCGGUCUCUUCAUCGAUGCCGAAAUAACAUUUCGAGGGAAUUAAAUGCCCGAAGAGACGGCAGGAAAUUUAUCCCCAGAAGAAGCGAUAAAAAAAGAUUCCACUAAUACGAAGAAUAUUUGAGGAUGAUGCAGAUUCCCUUCACCUGUAUAAACUCCAUAGUGCUGUUAAUCCACUGGCAUAGAAUAAUUUAUAAGAUCGACGGGGAGUUGCGUGUCAUACGAUAACACAACUUCGACCCGAUGAUGUUCAUGCGGAGCGACGAACACUUUUGUGGACCACUGUAUAUUGUCUCAAUCGGCAACCUGAGACGCCCUGUAGUCAGAAGACUCAACAUUGUCUCCAACUGUCUUCCGGCACUGAACGCAGAAAAUAACAGCAAAUGAAGGAUAGAUAAUAACGCAAUGUGUAACUUCUUUAUUUUUUAUUAUUUCUUAAUGGGACUUUUCCUAAUGCAAUCGUAAGGUUUGUUAAGGUUAUUGACAAAGGUUGGCAAGGUACCUUGACGUCCGGUUGGAGCAGUGGCCUCUCCCCUGGUCAGAGGAAGAGGUAGGGGUAUCAGCCGACGAACUCAAUGUGGCAGCGGGAAAACUUGAAGGAGCAGGGCUCCCAGACCAGAUGGGGUACAUAAAAGGGUCAUUGGUCCAGUUGGGCCAAUUGUUCGGCCCCCAAAAUAAGGGAAAUAGUCUCAGGGAGGAGGAGUUCGAAUGCAUGCUGAGAUCACACUGAGUCUGACUACCAUAGUCACAGGGUCAAUCGAGGUCUGCCUCGUACCCCCUAACGCCCCGAGACGAUCGCCGUAGCAGACAUGCUGUACUCAGAUCUCUGACAAUGAAGCUGACAAAGAUUCAUCAAAUAUCGUUCCACUCCAUCCAAAUCACGUCAAAACUCGACCGCAGAAAUAGUUAACAGAAUCGUGGGAAUUUAUCCCGAAAAUGCAUGCGGGUAGUGUCCAAUCAUGUUAAGUAAAGAAUGUGAGACUGAGUCCAUGAUUUAUUGGGUGAAGUCCUUGAAUCAAUACAACAACCUUCGCCGGCCUUCAACGGCCAAAAGCGUAGGGUACGGCCAUAUAAAAUAAACCAGAUGUGCAGAGACGUAAACUACGGACGACCCGCUGUCACCGACGGUACCCAGCGCUUUUAGAACGUAAUUAACGGCCGUUCGAAGAAAAUGGUAUCGGGUGUCAUUUCCUCGGACGAUCGAACGACGAACAAGGGCCCACAGUCAAGGCCUUAACUUUUCGGCAAUGAAACGUCGACUCCUGAACGAACGCGUCGAAUAAACGAUUAUCCGCGAACCAGUCUCAGUGAUCUUUCUUAAUAU